UUCUGUUGCAGGACAGCACCUGGAAGAGAGGCCGGAGAUCAGCCACUCCUGGGGAGACCCUGGUACCGGCCUGGUCCAUUCUGGUCCCCACUUAGGGCCCCCUUUGGGCUCCCAGCAGGCUAAAGGACACGGACCCGCAGAGCCACUGAGAGGAAGAAACUGAGGCCCACAGAGGGCAAGGGGCUGGCAGAGAUGGACCUGGAUCCCUUCAACAUGGAUAGAUAAAGACAUGGCAAACUAGGUGAGAAGAGGUCAGGUAGGAGGGAAAAAGAGGAAGGGCAUCUCCUGGUCCUGGGGAGAGGAUAUGAGAGGGAAAGGCCUCCCACCUCGGAGCCCUGGGAGUAGAGGCAAUAAUGGGGGGCAGAGAAGAAAUUGGGGCAAAGGGGUCCAUAAUAACUUACAGGCUCUCCAGGGAGGCUCUGGGGGACAAUGGGAUUCUUGGUGCCCUGCUCUGUGAAGCCCGUAUCCUCCUUGGCACCAAUUGUCUUCUUCUGAAGGAAAUCUGGAAAGAACUCAUACAUGGGUUUUUGAAUCUCCCCCCCCCCCCGUUACUGGGAGGGGGCCCCAGUGGCCACCAGGUGCAACUCCCAGCCCGUCCCACCCCUAUCCCAAAGAUUUUGCCCUCUUAGGGAUGCUGGAUGGGGGCAGGGAGUCCAUUUGCCUUCUAGUCUAGCUCUUCUUCUGGAGAAACAAAAUGGCUCCAGAGUCUUCCUCCCCACCACCCCCUCCUGACUCACUGGCCACUAUCCUUUGAGCUCAAUGAUGGGUUUAAGUCCCUUUGAUGGGAUAAAGGAUGCCAGGAAGUCAAUUGAGUAAUAAGUGGAGGCAGCAGGGUUCCAGCCUGGGUCCUCCCACUCCUUUUCAACCCUACUUCCCUGGCCAGGAUUCUCUUUGAUGCCAUCCCAGACCACUGGGCAGCCAGCCUUCCCUUGAACCCCUCCAGGGUAGGCAACCCACUGUCUGGGCUUAUUUCUAGGAUGGAUGGCGUAGCAGGAAGGGAGGGAAGAAGGGAAGCAGGGCCGCAUCUCCACAUCUAUGUACCUGGCUGGCCUGGGAUUUCAUAGCGGUAUUUGGAGUUGUACUCAGAGGUCAUAAAUCGGGGACCCUGAAACACCAAGGGAGGAAGUAGCAGUGGGGAAUACUGAUUCCAGGCUGCCCACCACCAUUGCUCCUCUCAGGUCAGCCCUGCUCUCCUCAUGGCCCCCCAACUGGAGUGGGGCAGAGGAUAGAUUCUUAGGGGCAGGGCUGGCCCAGGAAUCCUCUUGUCCUGAUCUGGGGAGCCUCAGCCAGCCCCCACUUCCACACGGCACCUCCCCCUACCCAGAUCUGCAAGUCCCUACAAUUCCACUGUUGUGGAUCCAUUUCUCUGUUCGAGAGGAGGGGUUAUCAGUCAUUGACCUGCGAGUAUAAACUAGUGGUCUGAGUCUUUCUCACUGGGAGCAGGUUUGCCAGAGGAGAAGGAGAACACCCCAAUGUCCACGUUCCCAAAAGACUGGAGGAGGGUAAAGGGGUUCGGCAGCCCAGAGAUCACAGAAUUCCAAGAUGGAAGGAAUGUCCAGAAUGUGCAGUUAGCACAAUAGCCUCUCUCCCACUGAGCUCCCCCUUCUUACUUUCCAUGAACAUUCAGGAGAGGCCUCUGGGAAGGAGAGCCUGACCCUAUGCCCGUUGCCACCCACCAGCCAUGCCCGGGCAUCUCCUAGAAGCUGGCAGCAAACUCACGUAUCGGUAAUUCUCCAUUUCAAUGCCUCCCUUGCCCACAUAUUCAUGGAGGGUUGGCACAGUCUUGGGUUCCAAUCCUGUGAUGGCGUGUCCACCAUAAUCCUGGGUGUUGAAGUGGACUUUCUUGACCUGGGAGAAGUAAAGAAGUCUUGUCAGUAAUCUCCAGGGCCCAUCUGAGAUUCAGCACUUUCCACUCUACAAAAUGGGAGAAAUUGCCUGGAUCCCUCCUCAGGUUCUUUCCACCUCGGACCCCAGAACUCUUCAGGCCUCUAGAUUCCUUGGAGGGGGGGAGUGGACCCUGGGGGAGACCUCCUGAGGAAGGACAACAGUUGGGGGACUGGCCUUGGGUUGUCUCCUACUAAUAUCCUGCUACUCAGCCAAAGAGAUCACCCUGAUCCCCCCAAACUCCCCUGGGGAUCUCUGGCCUCCAGGCACAGUUUCCCCGAGUCUGUGUGGUCUCCCUUCAUCUUCUCUUGACAAAGCCCAGCCUAGACUUGCCUCCUCCAGGAAGCUGGCACCUCUCUGCCACCCCAGCCAGCUUACACCCAUCUGCCUCCUGGCUUGCAGGCUCCAUCACUUGCAAGCUGCAUCAUCCUGGUGCCUGACCUUUAUGUCCUGCUUUGAGAGUUGCAUGGAAGCACUCCCCCCCCCAACUCAGUUAUCAUUCCAUUAUACCCAUUUCACAGAGAGGAGAACAAAGGCUGAGUGGCUUGUCCAGGGCACCCUUGCAAAGGGCAAAGGCAGGAUUUGAACCCCAAUUCUGCAUUUGCUCUACUAUUAUUCCAACUACUGGGUGGGUGGAGGAAAUUCUUUUUUCAGGAUUUAUUACCUUUCACACUAAAAUACGAGUUCCUUGAGGAUAAAGACUCAGUCUUCCCCUCCCAGUGCCUACAACUUGUACAUAUCGUGUCUGCCAGGAGAGCAGAGGCCAUCCAGGCUAACCCCUGCACUUAUACAGAUGAUGCUUGAUUCUGAACCAGCCUGGGGGCAGGCCCAUGCCCUGUCCUUUCCCCUCUCCACCUUGGGGCAAUCCCCCCAUACCAGAGUGAAUCCUGGGGGACAGCUGGGCUGAAGGGGAGCACCUUUUUAACUUUUGAAGCAUUGUAUUUAAUUAAUGUCAAAUAUUUUUCCAUGGUUACAAGAUUCAUGUUCUUUCCCUCCCUCCCCCCCCCCCAUAGCCGACGUGCAAUUCCACUGGGUUUUACGUGUGUCAUUGAUCCAGAUCUAUUUCCAUAUUAUUGAUAUUUGCACCAGGGUGAUCGUUUAGAGUCUACAUCCUCGAUCAUAUCCCCAUCAAACUAUGUCUAUAUUUCCGCUCCCACAGUUCUUCCUCUGGAUGUGGAUAGCGCUUUUUCUCAUUCAUUGAGGGGGAACACCUUAAAAAAGCCUGACUGCUCAGGACCCCGGACUCCAUCCCAUGCCCUUAAGGCAGGACCAGAGCAAGGAAAUCCCCUUUGGUGCUAGUCAUCAUCCCCACUUCUGUCUCAAGGACUGAUAAUCAAAUCAAUGCUCCCGUGAAGGACACAAUCAUGGAAUUCCCUGAAAUGUUGCCCUGCUCAGCCUCCCUCUGCUUCCGAGUUAUUGGCUGCCUUCUUCCCUGAUCGACACUCCACGUUCCCAGUAUCUGUCCCAUCAUCUCUUUCCCACGCUCCCAUGAUGCUCUCUGGGAUGCUUCUUACGUUGUUAACAGCUGCUUUUUUUGAUACCCGAGCUGCUCCCCCAGAAAUUACUUUGUAAGUGUUUUUAUUCGCUUUGUAAUGUUUCCUCCCAACACAAUGUAGCCUCUCUGAGAGUAGGGCCUCUUUUCUCUUUGGCUCCCCAGCACCGGAAAGAGUAGCAGAUAGCUAGUAGAUGCUCAAUGAAUCUUUGCUGGAUCGUUUCAUAUCUCUCUGCUCCAGACUCCGAGGCACUCACCUCUUUGGAAGGGACACAAGAGUUGACUUUAUCCCGAACGUAGGAGGAGCCAGACUGGUACACAGUCCAGGGCAGUGGGUUCCUGCCAUCUUGCAGCUCCAUUGGAUGGUAGCUCUGGCCAUAGACUGACUGAGGAGCAUCCUUGGCAGGUUCCCUAGGGCAGAGCAGAAAAGGACCAGGGAGCUGGUUAGAGAUUGGAGUGAUGGUGCAGGAGGGAGAACCCCAGGAAUUGAGGAAAACUAGGGUUAGAGAAAUGGGUGAGGGAGAACCCCAAGGGCAUUCCAGCACCGACCUAAUGGGGCUAUGGGCAACAGGGGCUUUUGGUAUUCUGUCCUCUGUUGCUGGUCCUCCUCCCCCCAGUUCCCAAGAUCCCCAUCUGUGAUGGGCUGGCAUCAGGGUGGGUAAGAUUCGUCCAGGCUGUUUCAAAGGUAUCACCUUAUCCUGAGAGUGGGCUGAUUGCUCAAGCUGGAUAGGCACAGCAGAAACAGGGCAAGGAGAAUAACUUGAACCUGCUCUCGGGUCUUAUUUCUUCCUGGAUCCCAAUCUGGGAAGACCCUAGACCCCAUAGCCUUUGUACCCUCAGUGCCUAGCUGAGGAUCAAGGGUCCUGAUCACAGGAUCACCAAGGCAGGGGGAUUUGCAGAGGGCCUUAAAGUUUGUUUUAUGUCCAUUUUCUCCCCAGAGCUGAAUGAUCCCUCUGUUCCAGGUACUAUCCUACCCACAAAGGGAAAUGGGACUGUCCAGAGCCACCCAGCUAGGGAUAGGAUAGGAGGCUGGAUCCUAACUCAUCAAUCAAUCAAAAUUGAUCUCUUAAGCCCCUACUAUGUGCCAAACUGUGCUACGUGUUGAAGAUGUUAAAAAAAAAAAAGACUAAUCCCUGCCCUCAAGGAGCUUCCAAUCUAUUGGAGUAUCCAUUAAGACCCAGGUCUCUUUAAGGGGUCACUAGGGAGCUAGUGGAUAGAAAUUCAAGCUUGGAAUCAGGGGGACCUGGGUUCAAAUCUGCCCUCGGACACUAUCCAGCCAUGUGACCCUGGGCAAGUCACUUAACCUCGAUUUCCCGGUCUUUUGUUUUAGAAGUGAUACCAAGAUGGAAGGUAAGGGUUCGGGGCUAACCCAUUCAUUUUACAGACGGGGAAAUUCAUCCUCAGAAAGCCUAAAGUCACAAAGGUGGUAAGCAGGAGCGUCAGCAUUUGAACCUGAAUGAAAAAGAGGGAAUGAAGGACCUACCCUACAACAGGAUUGUCGAAGGAGUCCAAGGUGGGAUGGUAGCUGACCAAGGGGCGGUAAUUCGCCUGGUAUCCAGUGCCUUUGUGCUGACCAAUUUGGGGCUUGAAACCCUCCCGACCUGCCAAAGAGAGAGGAUCGGCGUCCCUCAGAGGCAGCAGGAUGGAUGGAGCACCCGAGGCCAGCCGGGAGAAGGGGGAUGGAGGGCUCUGGGUGUGGGUGUUGCGAAGGAGUCCGUGUGAUGGCCCCCCUGGGGUGGGGGUGGGGGGUCACUAGAUAGGAUUAGGGAGGCCAUGCAGACAGGCCAAUGGGAUCAAGGUCCUUCCUUUGGGGACAAGAGAGUGAGGCCAGCUGAGACCCGGCCAAGUCCUGGAUCUGGGGGGCCCCAAGCUUUACUGGGCCACGUGAGACCUGGGCUCUCCUUGGCCCAUCUCCGGGAAGCAGUCAUGAGCCCAGCUGUAUUUCUCCAGGUCAAACAAAGGCUUGACAAUGAAGCAAAUGUGCACAUGUUUUCUUCUGCCCAACUUGUCUGGCAGCUAGGUGGCACUGGAGAUAGAGCACUGGGCCUGGAGUCAAGCCGGCUUGAGUUCAAAUCCAGCCUCAGACACUUGCUGGCUGAGUGACUCUGGGAAAGUCACUUAACUCUAUUGGCCUCAGUUUCCUCAUCUGUCAUAUGAGCUGGAAAAGGAAAGGGCAAACCACGACAGUCUCUUGACCAAGAAAAUCCCUAACGGGGUCCCAACUGAACAACAAUUCUUGGGUGACUUUGCCCACUCGGGUGGCACAUUAUUCAAUAAACCCAGAAGUUCCUUCCUUUCCUUGCCCAGAAGGGGUUGGGCAUGGAGGGCUGGAUACGAUGUUAGCUUGAUCAAUUUGCUGAUCAAUUUUGCUGAAUUGAUUCAUUUCCCUCUUUUUUCUUCUGCUAUCAGUGUCAGCUCUCCAGGAGUGGGAAGAGACAAAAUAGAAAAUGCAAGUGGCCUAAAAACAAGAGCUAUCAGCAAACCAUUAAAGAAAAUAAACCUCGGGGCAGGUAGGUGGCAUGGUGGACCGAGCAUCAGGUCUGGAGUUGGGAAGAUCUGGGUUCAAAUCUGGCCUCAGACACGUCCUGGCUGUGUGACCCUGGGCGAGUCACUUAACCUUGACUGCCUAGUCCUUGCCACUGUUCUGCCUCAGAGUUGAUACUAAGAAAGAAGGGAAGGGUUGAAAUCAAUCAAUAAACUGUCUAUUGAGUUCACCCUGUUUCCUUGCAAUCCUGAUUCAGCCAGGAUCUGGGCCCCUUUCCUCCUGGCUGCACCUUGCUGCUCCACAUCCCAGAGUGAUGCCUCUGGACCCCCGGACUUCUGGAGGUCAGCCUGAUCAGGGCAGUGCCACAGUGGGGCAGGGCGGGGAUGACAGGGAUGGUCUACGUCCUGGCCUGGGCCCUGCCGGGAGGAGGGAAGGGAGGGUGGCCUCGGGGAGCACCGGGGGAAGGGCCCUUACUGUAGGCUGUGCAAUAGCUGGUGGCGUAGAAUUUCAGGGGGUCUGCGCAGCCCCCCGAACUCAUCUUCACAUAAGGGGAAACAACCCCCAAAGGCAGUUUGCCCAUCAUGGUGGCAGCAGGAACUGGGCACCAGGAGCACCUAGGAAAGGAGAGACGGAGAACAAACAUCAACAACCAAUUCUGGCGUUGACAUGUCGUGAAAGUCUUCUUUUUCUAGGCUUCUCAGAGGGUGAGGGAGAGGCAAAGAGACACUCAGAGACACAGAAUUCAGAACUGAAGAUAUCUAUUUUUAAAAAUCAAUUCCAGGGGACAGCUGGGUAGCUGGGUGAAUGGAGAGCCAGGUCCAGAGACAGGAAGUCCUGGGUUCAAAUCUGGCCUCAGACACUGCCUAGCUGUGUGACCCUGGACAAGUCACUUAACCCUCAGUGCCUAGCCCUGACCACUCUUCUGCCUUGGAGCCAAUACUCAGUAUUGACUCCAAGAUGGAAGGUACUCAUUUAUUUUUAAAAAAUCAAUUCCAGAAUCCCAAUUUGGGAGCGUCUGGGUGGCUCAGUGGAUAGAGAGCCAGAGGUUCCAGUCUGACCUCAGACAAUUCCCAACUGUGUGACCCUGGAUAAAUCACUCGACCCCCAUUGCCUAGCCCUUACUGCUCUUCUGCCUUGGAACCAAUGCGUGCUUUUCCUCACAUAUCCAACUCCAUCUCCUGAGACUAUUAUAUUGUUUUGUGCAUGUUCUCUCUCCUGGUAAAAACAGAAGCCUCUUAAGGAAGGAGACUUUUCUCUUGUUUUUGUUCCCCCAGGACCCAGCCCAGUGUUUGGCACAUAGGAGGACAUGCUAUUGGACUGAUCACUCCAGCCUGAUUUCUCUCUUUUACAGCUGAGGAAACUGAGGCCCCAGAGAGGGAAAGGAUUUGUUCAAGUCAUCCAGCUAACAAAUAGCAGGACCAGGAUUUGAAGCUGGGAGCUCCUUGCAGGAAGGGACUCUUUAUUGCCAUUUCUCUUUAUCCUUGGUGCUUAGGGAAGUGCCUGACACACAGUAGGUGCUUCAUAAAUGCUUAACUUGAGCUGACUUUCCAUUCUAAGUCCUCCAGGACAGAGAGGUCCAGCUAGAUCAAUUCACUGAACCUGAAGUCAGCGGGACCUGGGUUUGAACCUUACCCCUGACACUGACUAGUUGUGGACCCUGGGCAAGUCAUUCCUUCUCUGAGCCUCAAUCUUCUCAUCUGUAAACUGGGGAUGAUUUUACCUGCACUAGACACCUUACCGAGUACUCAUCUAUAAAAGGGGAUUAUAACAACCCACAGGGUAGAAGAGGAAAGCUGACUCUGGUAUGGAAGGACCUGGGUUCAAAUCUUGCCUCUGACACUGCCCGUGUGACUUUGGGAGAGUUAUUGAUCUCUCUGACCUUGGGUCAGACUGUAACUAGGGGGAGGGGGAGGGUUUAGACUAGAUUAGAUGACUUCUGCUGUGCAUGCCAGCUCUAAAUCUCAGCUCCUGCAACAUGGGAUUAUCAGUGUAGAUCAAAUGGACAGAUAGCUGCACCUAAUAAACGUUUAUCGACCGCCCUGUAUCUUUUGAGAUAUCAGUAAAAUCCUCCCUUAGAAGGUGAGCUUCUUAGGGUGCCUCAUUAGAAUGGGAGACCAGGCUGGGGCUGCCUUUUCUAAUUGCUUUUUUUGCAUACAGUAAGCACUCCAUAAGAGCUUCAUCAUUCCUUCACUUGCCCUAGAUUUGGUCUCUCUGAAUGAAUGGCAGCCACGAUGACUAUUUUUCCUCCCCUAGAAUGGGUCUGUCUCCAGUGCCUCUUUGUGGGGGGGGGGGGUAAUCCGGGGCUCUAGCUGGUCCUCCACCCAGGAAAGCCUCCACCUCAGGACCUGGGGCUUGACUCUGUUUGGUGCCCAAUCUGGCUAACUUCAGGGGGAUGCUGCCGGGUGAAUGCAGGCAAGCAUCUUUCUCCCAAGGAAAUCAGCGGGUUCUGGGAGGAGGCGACCACACAUAGAAUGGCAGAUUCUUGAAGAAUGAAUAUGCUUUUCUGUAGAAUUUGGCCAAUUGCCCUGCCAGGCAAACACAGGGAUUCCUCUCCCUAUUUGACAGGCGAGGGAACUCCCCCUCAGAGAAGAAAGAUAAAGUUGCCCAUUCUCAUAGACCUAGUAAAGUGGGAUUUGAACCCAGGUCUUUACAGAGUUUUUUUUUCACACCCCCAGAUUCCCCGGGUUCAAAGAUCCCUGUUCCAUGCCACAGUGUGCUUGGAGUUCUUGCUGCACUGGAACCUCCUUGAGGGUAGGGACUCUGCUCUCUCCAUCUCUGCAGCCUCCCAGGAUCACCCAGCCCAAAGCCCCAGAUUAUCCGAGCUUUGUGGAACUGAAUCAGCCAGUAAAUGAAAGAGGGAUGGAUGUGCCUGCCUUCCAGGGAUUUCUACCUAGAAUGCGCUUUCCUGCCUGCCUCGCUGGGUCUCUGGUCGCUCAUCUCCCCCCAUCCUCCCUCCAGGGUCCUAGUUCUCCUCCCUCCCUCCUUCCCUCUCCAUCUUCCCUCAGGCUGCUGCCUGCUGUCACCAGAGAUGCUCCUGGGGAGGCGGUGCCCAGCCCCCACCGUCCUACCUGUGCCUGUGUGGCUCUGAGUGACAGGGAGAUGGACUCCCAGGAGCUGGAGCGUCAGGGGAAGGAGCUGCCUUUAGGAGAAGCUGCAACUGACUGGCUAGCCCUGCCCCAGAGGAGGAGGCAGGCAGGGCUGGAAUGGCAACAAUGCGUUGCUCGGCAACAGAAGCCUAGCAACCAGCUUCCAAACAGCUCGGGAGUCAGCUUCCCCUAGAGUCCAGAGUGCAGGGAGAGGAGAGGGUUAGAGGGAGCCCCACAUCCGCCCGGGAGCUCUAGUCAGUCUCGUACACCAAACGCAAGUCAGUCGAUUCAUUCCAUUAAGCACCUCCUCCUCCUCCAAGGAGAGCCUGGAUUGGACCCUGAGAGAGGAACCCAAAGCAAACUUCGGAUCUGGCUUGGUUCCGUACUCUCCAGUCCAAAAGAGGCUGAGCUACAAGCCCACCAUGGCCCAUGAGGAGCCUCAGGGAGGAAUGAAGGACUCUGGGAGGGCAGGGAGAGUUGGGGGGCGGGGAGGGUCCUUUUGAGGUGGGCUUCAAGGAGGGAAGGGUGGGCACUUCCGGCCAAAGAAAACCCCAGGUAGCUUAGAAGUGCCCCAAGUGUGUUGGGCAGGAGAGUGACUGCUCCAGUUUGGCAAAGGACAUUUGGGGAAAUAAUGAGAAUUAAAAGAGCCUGUUGGGGAAGUCAUGGAAAGGAGUCAAGGCUACAGGAGAGCAGGACAAGCCUUUCCUGUCUCUCCUCCCCCCAAUGAUCUUGUAAUUUCUUUUGUAGACUCAUAUAUGUUCAUAGAAGUUUCCUGGGAGCAGAGGCUGCUUCAUUUCUGGCUUUAUUUGCCCGGUGCCUGGUACAGUGGCACAUAGUAGGUGCUUUAUUUAAUGUACGCCAGUUGGCUGAUGGAUUGAUUAACUGGAAUAAAAUCUGUUUGAGAGUCAGGGACCCAGUUCUGUUAUUUUUCUCCUUGUGUGACCUUGGGCAAGUCUCUUUUCCUCUCCGGGCCUCAGUUUAUUCAUCUGUAAAAGGAGGAGGGUUGGACCAGAUGGCCCCAGAGGUUCCCUCCAGGCUCAGCUCCAUCUCCAGAUCUCAGAUUCAGAGUGAAGCCCGCCUUUAUUCACCCUCAGCUGGCCUGCCAGAAUCAUCAAACUCCCUCGGUUGGAUGGAAGUCCGGAUGGCUGGUGCCAGCCCAGGAAGUGGAGGAUCUCCCUGGCACCUUCCGUGUCUGCCCACGUUCGAAGUGCUCCCCGGCGUCUGCUUCUGUCCCCAUCAUGGCCACUGCAGCAAAUGUUCAUCCUCCUCCCCGUCGGCCAGGGAUGUCUUUCCGGGCCUGGAGCAGACAGCCCCCGACUCACCGGCUACUCUCAAGCUGCCCGUGCGAUGCUUCUUGGAUCCACGAGGGAAUUGGGGGGCCGGGGGACACCCAGCAUGGACGAGGAGCCCCGAAAAGGGCUCAGCAAGCCCUGCCACCAGAGCUCCCAGCCUUCCCGGAGCCGCUGGCACACCCCUGGUUAGUGCGAGAUGGAAAUGUUGUUGUCAGGCCGGGGCGACAGUUCUGGGUACUCUUCCCUGCUCAGACUCCUUCUGGGCUAGUGAUGUCUUCCCCAGCACUCAGGCCGGACCGUGAGAAAGGGGACGGCACCCGGGCUGGGGAAGGCCCUGGAGAUCACUGCGAAGAACCAGGAGUGCGUCCGGAGAAAGCAGACCAAGGUAGGCAAGAACCACGUCUUCAUGCCAGUAUGUUGAGAACUCUAAGACGAAGAGGGCUAUUUAAGGUCCGUAAGACUAAUAAGCGCUAUAGGAAGCCUUCCCCAGUGCUUCUUCAUUCUGGUUCCUUCCCUCUAUUAUUUCCUCUUUAUCCUGUAUUUAGCUUGCUCCAUGGCAAAGUCGAUAAAGGGCCAUGCCUGGAGUCAACAAGACCUGAGUUCAAAUCUGGACUUGGACACUAGCUGGGUGACUCUGGGCAAGUCGUUUCACCUUGUUCGCUUCCGUUUCCUCAUCUGCAAAGUGAGCUGGAGAAGGAAAUGGCCAACCCCUUCAGGAUCUCUGCUAAGAAAACCUCAAAUGGGGUCACCAAGAGUCAGACAUGAUUGAAAAAUGACUGAACAACAAGGAAUCAGGCAAAGGGGUGGCGGUGGUAAAGGAUAGGAUGCGCCUCUGUCCGCCGGCUAUCGGAUGGAGUACUUGGAGGGGCUGGUAGGAGGUGAUGCUGGAGAAGCGGGCUGGCCCCAGAUCCAGAAGGGGUUGAAUGGCGUCCGUAUCUGCUAGAAGGGUUGGACGCCAAGACAUUGACAUUCAUUGGAGGAUGGAUCGUGGGCUGGGAAGGACCCUCGAGAUUCUCUUGUCUUGGGAUCAGAUCAAUGAACAUUUGUUAAGGCAGGCACUGUGCCAGGCCCUGGGGACACCAAUACAAAUAAGAACAGACAGUCCCUGCCCUCAAGGAACUCGCAAUCUAAUUCGUUGCUGUUCAGUCAUGACCCCACUUGGGGAUUUUUGGCGAAGAUGCUAGAGCAGUUGGCCAUUUCCUUCUCCGGCUCAUUUUACAGAUGAGGAGAUCGAGGCCAACAGGGUGAAGUGACUCACCCAGGGUCACACAGUCAGUAAGUGUCUGAGGCUGGAUUCGAUCUCAUGAAGAUGAGUUUUCCUGAUUCCAGGCCCAGCAUUCACUGUGCCACCCAGCCGCCCUACACUCCAAUAGGGAAAGACAGUAUCAGAAAAGGAAGCCAGAGGUGGUGGGGCCAUGAUGGAGAGUUCCAAAGAGGCCCCACAGCAGUGACUAAGAUCACAGAUUUGGGGCUAGAGGAGACCUUCCAUUAGAGAACUGGAGUGACUCGCCAAGUCAUACGGCUAGCGGCUCCCAAGGCAGGAUUUUCUAUUUUCAAACCUUUACCUUCUAUCUUAGAAUCAAAGCAGAAGAGCAGUAAGAGAUAGGCAAUUGGGGUGAAGGGACUUGCCCAGGGUCACCCAGCUAGGAAGUGUCUGAGGCCAAAUUUGAACCCAGGACCUCCCAUCUCGGAGCGUGGCUCUCUAUCCACUGAGCCACUGCCCCCUAAGGGUCAGUCUGAAUGACCAGAAGGACAGGAGAAUUGGCCUGUCUAAUAAGAAGCCCAAAUGUAAUCACACAAAGCUCCUUUCCACCCCCAGCUUUCUUCCCGAGGAAAGUUAAAACCGACGUUCUUUCUGGUUGCCCUGCCAGCUGUUUUUAGGGGAGUCCACAGGAGAACAACCAAGAUGAUUUAGGUCUCGGAAAUGGGCCCUUGAGAAAAAACUAGAGGAACUGGGUCUGCCAGAGUAGAGUACUAGCUACGGGGAGAAAAGGGACUUGUUCUUCCGAAGGGGGUGAGAAGGUACCAAAGUGGCCAAGGCUGAGUCUGGAGCCCUGUCUCUGCCCCAGUGGGUUGUAGGACUUUAGAUAUGUCUCCUGACGUUGCUCCUAUCCUGGCACAGGCCCUCACCACCCUGUGCCUGGACUACUGCAACAGCAGUCUCUCCUCACUCACGCCCAUCCUUCCCUCAACUGUCAAAGUGAACUUCCUAAAUGUGGCUUCAACCACAUCAACCUUCUACUUGGUAAACUCUAGUGGCCCAUCAUCGCCUUUCAGAUCGAAGGGAAAAUCUUGGGGGCAGUUAGCUGGCUCAGUGGACACAUCCUAGAUGUGUGACCCUGAGGAGGUCACUUAGCCCCCAUUGACUAGUCCAGUGAUGGUGAACCUUUUAAAGACUGAGUGCCAAAAUUGCAACCCUCACACUGCAUGUGAGCCCCCCACCUUACUCCAGACAGGGAAGGGAGGAAGCACUCCCAUUGGGUUGCUGGGCAAGGGGGGAUGCUGUGAUAAAUGUCCUCAGGCACUCAUGGACUGGGGAAACAGAGCAGCCUCCUCCUGCAUACUCUAGCAUGUGUGCCAUAGGUUCACCAACGCAAACCUAGUUCUUACUGCUCUUCUUCUGCCUUUCAACCAAUCAAUACAUAGUCCUGAUUUUAAGAGAGAAGGUAAGGGUUUAAAAAAAUCUCCUGUUUGGUACCCAAAGACCACAAAUUCACUCCUUUCUCCUUUUCCAGUCUUAUUGCACCUCCCUUCCCUCCAUAUGCUAUACUGGCCUCCUCGCUGUUCCUCAAAACAAUCUCCCUCCAUUUCCAGAUUCCAUUCAUUUUCACUGGCUAUUCCCUGAGUCUCCCUCCUUACCACUGCCCUUGACCUCCUUCAAGCUUUUUUUUUUUAAAUCCUCACCUUCUGUCUUAGUGUUGAUUCUAAAACAGAAGAGUGGCUAGGGCUGGGCAAUUGGAGUCAAGUGACUUGUCCAAGGCCACACAGCUAGGAUGCGAAUGAGACAAGAUUUGAACCCAGAGCCCCUCAGUUUCAGACCUGGUGCUCUGUUCAUUGUGUUACCUAGAUACCCCUUGGCCUACUUCAGUUCUUAGCCAAAGCUUCAUCUUCUCCAUUAAGCCUUUCCUUUGUCCUCUUUCCUCUUAGAGCCUUCUCUUGGAGGUUAUCUCCAGUUCCUGUUGUAGAUAAUCUAGUUUAUAAAAAGUUGUCCUUAGACCAGAGGCUCUUUGAGGGCAGGGAUUGCCUGAUGGUAGUCCUGAGGGCUCAGCACAGUGAGUGGCACUCAGAGAUAAUGCUUGGCGACUUCCCCUUUCUGUGACUCUAUUUUUUGUACAAUUAGUAGGUUCAGUUCAAUGCCUUUAAGGUCUCUUCUUGUGCUAUGAUUUCAGACUCUAUCUCUGAUUCUCUCUGAUCUCAUGUGAAGCCUCUUGCCACCCUGUUGUGAGGACAAAGGGGGAUUUUUCUUUCAUUCUGGAUGAAUUCAUUUGAGCAAGGAGUUCCUUGCAGGAGACCAGAAUCCAGGAUGGCCAGCAGGAAGCCAAGAUUGGGAACAAUUUCUAAGUGAAAGGAAGCCAGGACCCUGGUUCUUCACUGGAGGGGAUGGAGAGGUUAAGAUGAGGACCGGUCAUAGCCAGCCUCCUGGUCUACAGCCUGCGAGCUCCCUGAAAAAGAAAUGUCCUCUCUCUGGCUUCCAGAAUCAUCUCCUUUCUGGUGCUUUUCACAUUCUGUAAAAUUGCACUAGAAAACCUUGCUGGAAUGAAGCUUAGCGGCCAGCACUUUCCUUUUGCCACUGAGGAAACUGAUGUCUAGAGGUUAAGUGAUCCACCCAAGCUAAAAGAACUAUUUGGGAUUCGGAGAUUAGAUCCAGGGCCUCCUGCCUCCCUCAGUUUCACUCUGAUGCACUUUCUCCAUCACUCUGCUACCUGCAGGUUUUAAACCCCAGGCAGUGCGGUGGCCCUGUAUAGGUCACAACUUCUGUUUGAAUCAUCUGUAAAAUGGAGAUAAUAACAGCUCCCACCCCCCUGGGGUUGUUGUGAGGACCAAAUGAGGUAAUAUUUGUAAAGCACUUAGCACAGUACCUGGCACUUAGAAGAUGCUCACUAAAUGUUUUCCCCCCUUCCCUCAAUUGUCCUAUUGCUUUUCUCUGCCCAUCUUACUCCAUUUCCUUAAUGAGUCUAAUUAGGAGCUGACAUUUUCUAUGGAGUCAUCCUUGGGAUGACCCUGGACAAGUCACUUCACCCUGUUGGCCUCAGUUUCCUCAUGUGUAAAAUGAGCGGGAUAAGGAAAUGGCAAACCCUUCCAAUGUCUUUGUCAAGAAAACCCCAAAUGGGGUCACGAAGAGUGGGAAAUGACAGAAAAUGACUUCAUAUGC